rnacentral:tRNA from 1 species
CAGCUGUGAAAGAACCGGUGGAGCGGUAGUUCAGUUGGUUAGAAUACCUGCCUGUCACGCAGGGGGUCGCGGGUUCG